GUAGAACAUGACAGCCACAGAGACCAGACUCCUGGGUUCCAGAUUUCUACAAACAUUAUCUCAUCUAUUCCUCAAUCUGUGAGUUGGGUGCUCUUAUCCCACCAUUAUACAGCUAAGGAAGCACUCUCCUGAAUGGGAUGAGACUGGAUUCUGAGAGCAGAUAUUUGAUGAAAAAAUGUAGUUAGAAUUUUCCACAUCUGGGUGACUGAGAAAAUUUUAACUGUAAAUAAGGGUGUUCAACAAGCUUACCAGUAUUGGCAAAGAGAGUUCCAAAUGCCAUGCCCAGGCUGACUUUCUUCCUCUCGUCUCUCUAGGAGAGUGGUUUGUUGACAUUUGAAGGGUCAUUGACGCGGAUGGCGGCUUGCCUGGGCCCAUGGCACUGCCAGAAAUCACAAGACCAAGCUGAAAAGACACAAAGAAGUUCCCCCUUUGGCUCCAGGCGCCUCCUGACUUGAAUAAAAGAUAGCGAUUUAGCAACACUGCACUCAGUUUCAAAGAAGAGAAAUGCCUUGCUGGGCAGAGCCCUGUCUGCUAAACCUUUGCCAUCUCUGCUGCCUCCUUCCCAAACUUCACUGCUGGGAAAGACUCCCCCUGGCCUCUGUUCCCACAGAAUCUUCAAGCAGCUUCCUGCUUGCAGAGAUGGCUCCAGUGUUCUUCUCAAUGGGAGAAAAGUGUGAACCACUGAGUGGACUUAAGUUGACGUCUUCACCGAUUUUUGAAAAUGAGCAGACGACCAGGAGAGGCAGCAUGGUGAUCCACCAAAUGGAAAAGUAUGGGAAUCAAGAUCAUGCAUAUGGAUUUUCACAUGGAACAACAGCCUGAGUCCAUCCAGCAAGAUAAAACUCUCCUCUGUUGUUUUUCAAAGAAGGUUAGGUGACAUCUCCAAGGUCUUACCAUGGUAAAUGGCAAAACUGAGAUUCCAACCCGGGUCUCCUAGCAUGAAGCUCACUGCUCUGCUCUCACACCACAACCCCUGCACCUGCGCUUCCCCCCAGUCCACCCACUGAGAGAGUCCUCCACAGGACAAAGAGCAUGGUGAAGAUGAAGCUUUCAAAAACCAACAGGCAGCCACCACCAUCUUUUCUUCUGAGGAACUUCAGGAGAUAAUAGAGGCUGAGAGGCUGAUAGAUAAUAAGCUCCCAGCCAUAAGCAGUUUUAGUGACAGAAAACACAAUCGGGGCUUCCCGAGGGGAUUUUAAAGCAUAUACAAGGUGAAUCCCCACUUCUAAUUGGAGAUCAUCUAACAGAGAUGGGAGCCGGGUUACGCCUGCUCAAAUUAAAUUAUGUUAUUAUAUGUAAUUCCAGUUUUUACUUUUCAGUGCCUAAAACAUCAAUAUAUAUGCAUAUUCUCUAAUCCUUAGAGAACACAUCAUUUUAUGUAAAAACAGGCAUAAGCAAAGGAAUUAGGGCCCCAUUAUUCAGGAGCUUGCCAAUAAAGUCCUUCUUAAAAAGCAAUCUUUGAAAGAGCUUAAAAUACUGACAUUAAACUUGGAGGAAGAUGAGUUAAGCUAAUUAAUGGUACAAGCUAAGAAGGAUAAAUUUCCCUAUUAAACCCAUUAAGACUAUUUUUAGUAACCUGAUUUGAGGAGACUUUCAUGUUUCCCUUGAUUCUAAUGAUAAUCCUUCGUCUGGAAAAAGAAAUACAUUUAGAACUUGCACAACAUUUGUAAAUGUGCAUUAGUGGAGGAACACUUAGUUUUCCCCCUGAAUAAUCUAGAGCAGGGAGGUUAGCUAGAUGAAAUAAGCUUUUAAAGCUUCUGAUAAAAUCCACAGCCUGUUCCACACUCCACAGUAAAAAAGAAAACUACUGAAUAUGCAAAAUAUAGGUUAGAAAUGCCAACUCUGGCUUUAGAUGUGUUUCUCAAGCAGUGGGUAAGCCUUUCCCUACACAGGAAACCUGGAAUAUGUUAGCAGUACUGUAGAAAACAGCAUCAUAACCAGCAGUUUUACUGAAGGAUUUCAUGGCCAACCAGACUUCUCAGGCCCUCAAAUAAUAAAGACUAAGCUGGAGAAAUGACAACUGCUAUUCUUGCCUAAAGUCAGCAGUGGCAGGUGCUUCAGGACCAGGCGUGGGAACAGGCUCAAUCUGGACUACUGAGAGCGCCAGGGGUGAGCAGAGCCCCGGGAAAGGGGCUGGGUGGGUCAUGGUCCAUCCCUGCGUGGGUUACCCCACUGUGGAGAGGCAGGCCCAGUAUCUACAGAUCACUUUGCAUUUUGUUCAUCUAUGAGGCUCAAGUGGCUGAUGGCAGUCAGGGAAGGCUGCCAGGAGGAGGCAGAAAUUGAGCUGAGGCUGAUGUACAGGGAGGACUUGGAAAAGGAGAAGACAUUCCAGGAAGAUCUUAGAAAUAAUGAAGAAGCCAAUUUGAAUGAAGCUACUGUUUGAUUUUUAAAGCUGAUUUAUACUUAAGAUUAGAUCUGCUCAAACUAAACACACCAACUUUAGCAUGAUUAAUUCUAAAUCAUAAAUGUAUAUAAAAAUCAAACAUAU